UCGCCCGGACAUGUCCGGGUUGGCCGCGGAUAAUGUCCGUGGUGGGUUUUUGGGUGAUUUUGGGCAAUUUGAUGGGAUCCUAUGGUCCAAAUUAUGCGGGGUAGGAUUUCGGGGGAGAGAGGUUUGGAGGGCUAGAUGGGGUGGCUGCAAAUUUGUUUAGGGAGAACCCUAGUGGAGUUAGAGCCUCUCUCGACAAGGUGGGUUAAUAUAGAGAAUGGUCUACGGGGGGUUGGACCUCGUCUGUCCGAUCGCGAUCCAAAGGCCACGAACGGAGGGAUGGGCUAGGUGGGUCUAGUGGGAUGUGCAGAUGGGCUUGGUGGGGAUGAGAGGGAAGGUUGUGGCCCAUGGAAAAGUUCUUAAACACUGUAAACGUCUGACAAUUUGACUAGUUAUAGUGUCGCUAUAUAUUUAACGGUUCGAGUAUCAAACGAACUCCGAUAGCAAUGAAAUUUGGCA
rnacentral:lncRNA from 1 species